UUCGCAAUGCCCGAAAGGGUGACGAAGCGACGCCGCGUGUGGGAAGAAGGCCUUCGGGUUGUGAACCACUGUCGGGAGUUAAGAAAUGUAAGGGUGUUAAUAGCGCCUUUACUUGACAAAGGCUCCGGAGGAAGCCACGGCUAACUCUGUGCCAGCAGCCGCGGUAAUACAGAGGCGGCAAGCGUUGUUCGGAAUUAUUGGGCGUAAAGAGCACGUAGGCGGCUUUGCAAGUCAGUUGUGAAAGCCUUCCGCUUAACGGAAGAACAGCAGCUGAUACUACAGAGCUUGAGUACGGGAGGGGAGAGUGGAACUUCUGGUGGAGCGGUGAAAUGCGUAGAUAUCAGAAGGAACGCCGGCGGCGAAAGCGAUUCUCUGGUCCGAAACUGACGCUGAGUGUGCGAAAGCUAGGGGAUCAAACGGGAUUAGAUACCCCGGUAGUCCUAGCCGUAAACGAUGGGCACUAAGUAGAGGGGUUUU
rnacentral:rRNA from 1 species